AGUGAACGCUGGCGGUAGGCCUAACACAUGCAAGUCGAACGGCAGCACAGUAAGAGCUUGCUCUUACGGGUGGCGAGUGGCGGACGGGUGAGGAAUACAUCGGAAUCUACUUUUUCGUGGGGGAUAACGUAGGGAAACUUACGCUAAUACCGCAUACGACCUACGGGUGAAAGCAGGGGAUCUUCGGACCUUGCGCGAUUGAAUGAGCCGAUGUCGGAGUAGCUAGUUGGCGGGGUAAAGGCCCACCAAGGCGACGAUCCGUAGCUGGUCUGAGAGGAUGAUCAGCCACACUGGAACUGAGACACGGUCCAGACUCCUACGGGAGGCAGCAGUGGGGAAUAUUGGGCAAUGGGCGCAAGCCUGAUCCAGCCAUACCGCGUGGGUGAAGAAGGCCUUCGGGUUGUAAAGCCCUUUUGUUGGGAAAGAAAAGCAGCAGGUUAAUACCCCGCUGUUCUGACGGUACCCAAAGAAUAAGCACCGGCUAACUUCGUG
rnacentral:rRNA from 1 species